AAUUCUCAAACCUCUUUGGCUUUAUUGGUCAAAAAGGCUUUGGAUGUGGGAGUUGCUGGAACUAGCCUUUCAGCUCUUCUUAAAUGUAUUAGCGGGUUACUGAUCUCCGCUACUUGGUGUUGAUAGUCUAUCUUACACCUUGUAGUUGGUUCAACUUAUGUAGCUGCUUCUAAUCGUCGACUUGGUUGACAAAUUACUUGACU
rnacentral:misc_RNA from 1 species